UACGUAGGGCGCAAGCGUUAUCCGGAAUUAUUGGGCGUAAAGAGCUCGUAGGCGGUUUGUCGCGUCGGCUGUGAAAACCUGGGGCUCAACCCCGGGCCUGCAGCCGAUACGGGCAAGCUAGAGUUCGGUAGGGGAGACUGGAAUUCCUGGUGUAGCGGUGAAAUGCGCAGAUAUCAGGAGGAACACCAAUUGCGAAGGCAGCUCGCUGGAACGUUACUGACGCUGAGACGCGAAAGCGUGGGGAGCAAACAGG
rnacentral:rRNA from 1 species